rfam:Myotis brandtii contig298841, whole genome shotgun sequence.
CUUGGAGGGGAUGGGGUCCCUCAGCCCAGAUUGCAAGAGGGUGCAGACUAGGCCGAGGGACCCUAAUGGUGCAUG